rnacentral:RNase_P_RNA from 1 species
CAAGGAAGCUGGACAGCCGCGUUCCUGGGGCGAAAGGCCCAGGGAUGAGGAAAGUCCGGGCUCCAUAGGGCGAGGAUAACGGGUAACACCCGCCGAAGGCGACUUUAGGACAAGUGCAACAGAGAGAUACCGCCGGUCUUUGAGCCGGUAAGGGUGGAAAGGUGAGGUAAGAGCUCACCGGCCGACUGGGAACAGCUCGGUCCUGUAAACUCUAUCCGGAGCAACACCGUGGGGGAACAUGAGGCUUGCCCGGCCGUUCCCAGGAGGUGGCUAGAGCUUAUCGGCAACGGUAAGUCGAGAUAGAUGGCUGUCAAAACAGAACCCGGCUUAUAGGCUUGCUUGCAUC